AAGACUAUAGACCUGCGGAGUACCUGCGGAAGGAUCAUUAUCGUAUUGUAACAAUUGGGGGGGCCACCGUGGGCUGUCGCUGACCCUUUGAAAGGGGGGUCGUGCACGCCCCCAUAGUGUCAUCCUCAUACAAUCCAACUCACCUCUGUGCAUCACCGCGUGGGUUCCUUUCUGGGUCGAGUCAGACUGGCUCAGAAAAAAGGGGCUUGCGUUUUCCAUACAAAUACCCUUAUAUAUCCA
rnacentral:misc_RNA from 1 species